UCUGACAUUAGUACCCAGAAAUUAGAAUAUGUCCUCACUCUUUACUCCCCAGUCUUCACCUUCAUGUUUGAUUCCUAAUCCCUAAUUUCCUAAUUGAGUGACAACAGUAACGAACAUUUCUAAUUCACAAUCUUGCAUCUUUCACAAACAUCAAUAGAAAUUAUAAUUCGAGAAUGAAGGCACUAGGAUGGUGGCUGUUAGCAGUUGGCACUCUCCGACUUGCUUCUGUUUGGUUUGGUUUCUUCAACAUUUGGGCCCUCCGCCUUGGCGUCUUCUCCAACACCACCAUGACUGAAGUUCAUGGACGCACAUUUGGAACUUGGACACUGUUGACCUGCACACUUUGCUAUAUCUGCGCAUUCAACCUUGACAAUAAGCCCAUUUACCUGGCUACUUUCUUAUCAUUUAUCUAUGCUCUUGGUCACUUUGUCACUGAAUACUUUAUUUAUCAAACAAUGCAGAUUCAAAAUCUGUCUGCUGUUGCCUUUUUUGCAGGAACAUCGAUUAUGUGGAUGCUAUUGCAAUGGAAUUCGCAUGGGAGAGUGCACUUGAAGCAUUCUUAGAAAGGAUUAGUGAGCAAAGAGACAAGUCAAGUGAGAUCAUGUGAUUUUUAAGGUUGUUUUGAAUUCUUUGAUGUAUUGUUAGUUAUGAGCAGUAAUGUUAGUUUCACAAUUACUGCUGCUCUCAACAAAAUACAUCAUAAAUUAAUUGGAAAGAGUUUAUUUACUUUGAAAAGACUUGAGAAUGACUCAAAUAAAUCAGGCAAAUCCUCUAUUCAAUGAUUUCAAUCUUCCAACCUAA